rnacentral:rRNA from 1 species
GAUGAACGCUGGCGGCGUGCCUAAUACAUGCAAGUCGAGCGAACAGACGAGGAGCUUGCUCCUCUGACGUUAGCGGCGGACGGGUGAGUAACACGGGGAUAACCUCCCUAUAAGACGGGGUUAACUUCGGGAAACCGGAGCUAAUACCGGAUAAUUUAUUGAACCGCAUGGUUCAAUAGUGAAAGACGGUUUUCCUUUCCCUUAUAGAUGGAUCCGCGCCGCAUUAGCUAGUUGGUAAGGUAACGGCUUACCAAGGCAACGAUGCGUAGCCGACCUGAGAGGGUGAUCGGCCACACUGGAACUGAGACACGGUCCAGACUCCUACGGGAGGCAGCAGUAGGGAAUCUUCCGCAAUGGGCGAAAGCUUGACGGAGCAACGCCGCGUGAGUGAUGAAGGUCUUCGGAUCGUAAAACUCUGUUAUUAGGGAAGAACAAAUGUGUAAGUAACUAUGCACGUCUUGACGGUACCUAAUCAGAAAGCCACGGCUAACUACGUG